GCCGGGGUGGCCGAGUGGACCAAAUGAGCUUCAGGUUAAGGCGCAGGCCUUGAGAGCCUGUGCCCCUUCGGGGGCUCGCGGGUUCGAAUCCCGCCCCCGGCGCCA
rnacentral:tRNA from 2 species